rnacentral:rRNA from 1 species
UACAGAGGGGGCAAGCGUUGUUCGGAAUUACUGGGCGUAAAGGGCGCGUAGGCGGCCUGCUAAGUCGAACGUGAAAUCCCUGGGCUCAACCCAGGAACUGCGUCCGAUACUGGUUGGCUUGAAUCCGGGAGAGGGACGUGGAAUUCCAGGUGUAGCGGUGAAAUGCGUAGAUAUCGUGGAGGAAUACCGGUGGCGAAGGCGGCUUGCUGGGCCUUACCUGACGCUGAGGAGCGAAAGCGUGGGGAGCGAACAGG